AAAGAAAAUGAGAUCUCAGUAACAACUGGAAGCAGUAUGUUCCUCUGAUGUAUAUGAAAUAUUUAAGUUCUAGGUUUCCUCAGGAAAUCUGGAAACUAUUUGCCACUGAUUAGGAAAGCCUUUUUUAUUAUAAUACAUCCAUCACUGAAUGGGAAAGCAGGAAGGGGAUCUGCCAAUGAUAUGAAAUAGUUUUCUGGAAAUAAAUAACAUUUACAGACAAUUGAAAGUAUUGACGAUAGGAACACACAGUGGUUUCAAGCU